rnacentral:lncRNA from 1 species
AACAACUUUUACCUUUAAAAAAAGCUUCAGAACAUCAUGGAGGAGCCCGACAAGGAUGGUGCUUCAAAUGGUUAGAUAGAUGAUGAAGAGAGGAGGGUGAUAGUGGAGAAGAUAGAGGACCAAUUUCAUAUUUGGGUUAUUUAACCUAUUAAAGGGCAUAUUACAUGUUAUUCACAUAUGCUCAUUCUGGUGCUAGUUUUAUAUUUUUUGUCAUGUUAACUCUUUAUUAUUAUUAU